CACUAUGUUGCCCAAGCUGAUUUAGAACUCCUGACCUCAAGCAAUCCGCCUGCCUUGGCCUCCCAACGUGCUGGGAUUAUAGGCGGGAGUCACCGUGCCGGCCUGGCCCUGUGCAUUUCAUAGAUACGGUAACCGACAAACCUGGCCACAGCCACCCCUUCGUCCUAUAGAACUGGAAUUUGAACCCAGAGUCGUCCUUCACUACCGCCUCCGUUGUUUCUGGAAGCGCGCUCCAGGCAGGCUGGCCAGCAUUAUAGGGCCUCCCUGGGGGCCCCUUUGGGAACGCUGCUCCACAGAACCCUGCCUCUCAGGUCUUGGAGAUGUGGGCAGGAGAGAAGCAGCGUCCCUCAGAGCCAGGCCUGGCAAUGAUGCCAGUAGGGGCCGAGGCAAGCCCUCCACGUGCCCGCAGGUUUCUCAGCAGGGGAAGUCCACACCACGCCGCCUGGGAAUCUGGGUGCCUAACACAGCAGGAGCCGAGGCACAAAUUUAACCAGAUGCCAAGGUUGCGUGAGCCCCAGUUCGUGAGCCAGGCUCCAAGGACGUUUCCUUAGGUGGCUCUGGAAGGCCCAGCGCCAGCCCCCGUCCUCUGUUAAAGGGAACCAGCCUGAGCGCAACCCCAGAGUAGCAGGGGUACCUGAGGAGCGGGCUAUGCCCUGGCAGGAGGAGAGCCCAGGAUGGGGUCAGGGUCAGGCCCUGCUGGAGGCUGGAGGGCGCCCAAGGCGAGGCCGGUGAGGCCCAGCUCUACAAAUACAGCGUUUUAUUUACAGGA